GAUUUAAUUUCUCUGGUUUGAUUCUGUGAGAGAAACUUCACCAUAAAAUACUAUUCUAUCCAGGUUCCUGGAUUCACCCAUCAUUGUGGUAGCUUGAGCCCCUGAAGAUCUAGAAACAACAUAUUUAACCAUGAAGGAGCCAGAAAUCCUGCUUUGGACAGCAACAGCAUUUCUAUCUUUGAGUGCGGUGCUGGGUGACUCGAUCCGGUCAAAGGAACCCGAAGUGUCCAGGUCAGAAGGAGACACCGUGAGCCUUAUUUGUUCUUAUGGAACCCGCUACACUGCUGGUGUCUAUCUCUACUGGUACCGUCAGUAUCCGAACCGAGCCCCGCAGUACAUCCUCCUGAGAGGAACGAGAGAUGUCAGUUAUGCCAGCGAUACUGCAGGUUUUGCCCAGGAGAGGUUUUCUUCGCAGGCAAAUGACAGCUCCACAACUCUGAACAUCACAGCCCUGGAGCUGGCAGACACAGCGGUGUAUCUCUGCGCCCUGCGUCUGGCACAGUGACAGAGCCACAUAGCAGAGCUGUAC